rnacentral:rRNA from 1 species
GACGAACGCUGGCGGCGUGCUUAACACAUGCAAGUCGAACGGAAAGGCCCUGCUUUUGUGGGGUGCUCGAGUGGCGAACGGGUGAGUAACACGUGAGUAACCUGCCCUUGACUUUGGGAUAACUUCAGGAAACUGGGGCUAAUACCGGAUAGGAGCUCCUGCUGCAUGGUGGGGGUUGGAAAGUUUCGGCGGUUGGGGAUGGACUCGCGGCUUAUCAGCUUGUUGGUGGGGUAGUGGCUUACCAAGGCUUUGACGGGUAGCCGGCCUAAGAGGGUGACCGGCCACAUGGGGACUGAGAUACGGCCCAGACUCCUACGGGAGGCAGCAGUGGAGAAUAUUGCACAAUGGGCGGAAGCCUGAUGCAGCAACGCCGCGUGCGGGAUGACGGCCUUCGGGUUGUAAACCGCUUUCGCCUGUGACGAAGCGUGAGUGACGGUAAUGGGUAAAGAAGCACCGGCUAACUACGUG